rnacentral:snRNA from 1 species
AUGCUCGCUUCGGUAGCACACACACUAACAUGGGAGCAAUACAGAGAAAAUUAGCAUGGCUCUUGCGUGAGAAUGGGGUGCAAGUUCAUGAAGCAUUCCACAAUUUU